AGUAACGGCGAGGGAAGCGGGAAAAGCUCAAAUUUAAAAUCUGGUAGUCUUUGGCUGCCCGAGUUGUAAACUAGAGAAGUGUUAUCCGUAUUGGACCGUGCACAAGUUCCCUGGAACGGGGCGUCAUAGAGGGUGAGAAUCCCGUAUAUGGCACGGACUACCGGAGCUCUGUGAUACACUCUCAAC
rnacentral:rRNA from 1 species